rnacentral:rRNA from 1 species
GACGAACGCUGGCGGCGUGCUUAACACAUGCAAGUCGAGCGGUGAAGCGCCUUCCUUUUUGGUGGGUGUGGAUGAGUGGCGAACGGGUGAGUAACACGUGAGUAACCUGCCCCCUUCUUCUGGAUAACCGCAUGAAAGUGUGGCUAAUACGGGAUAUUCUGGGUCUGUCGCAUGAUGGGUCUGGGAAAGAUAUUGUUUCGGUGGGGGAUGGGCUCGCGGCCUAUCAGCUUGUUGGUGGGGUGAUGGCCUACCAAGGCGGUGACGGGUAGCCGGCCUGAGAGGGUGGACGGUCACACUGGGACUGAGCCACGGCCCAGACUCCUACGGGAGGCAGCAGUGGGGAAUAUUGCACAAUGGGCGCAAGCCUGAUGCAGCGACGCCGCGUGAGGGAUGGAGGCCUUCGGGUUGUGAACCUCUUUCGCCAGUGAAGCAGGCCUGCCUCGUUUGUGGGUGGGUUGACGGUAGCUGGAUAAGAAGCGCCGGCUAACUACGUG